GACGGAGGAUGCAAGCGUUAUCCGGAAUGAUUGGGCGUAAAGCGUCCGCAGGUGGCAGUUCAAGUCUGCUGUCAAAGACCGGGGCUUAACUUCGGAAAGGCAGUGGAAACUGAACAGCUAGAGUAUGGUAGGGGCAGAGGGAAUUCCUGGUGUAGCGGUGAAAUGCGUAGAGAUCAGGAAGAACAGCGGUGGCGAAGGCGCUCUGCUGGACCAUAACUGACACUCAGGGACGAAAGCUAGGGGAGCGAAUGGG
rnacentral:rRNA from 1 species